rnacentral:rRNA from 1 species
AAAGAAAUCAACCGAGAUUCCCCCAGUAGCGGCGAGCGAACGGGGAGCAGCCCAGAGCCUGAAUCAGUGUGUGUGUUAGUGGAAGCGUCUGGAAAGGCGCGCGAUACAGGGUGACAGCCCCGUACACAAAAAUGCACAUACUGUGAGCUCGAUGAGUAGGGCGGGACACGUGGUAUCCUGUCUGAAUAUGGGGGGACCAUCCUCCAAGGCUAAAUACUCCUGACUGACCGAUAGUGAACCAGUACCGUGAGGGAAAGGCGAAAAGAACCCCGGCGAGGGGAGUGAAAAAGAACCUGAAACCGUGUACGUACAAGCAGUGGGAGCACAGAGCAAUCUGUGUGACUGCGUACCUUUUGUAUAAUGGGUCAGCGACUUAUAUUCUGUAGCAAGGUUAACCGAAUAGGGGAGCCGAAGGGAAACCGAGUCUUAACUGGGCGUUAAGUUGCAGGGUAUAGACCCGAAACCCGGUGAUCUAGCCAUGGGCAGGUUGAAGGUUGGGUAACACUAACUGGAGGACCGAACCGACUAAUGUUGAAAAAUUAGCGGAUGACUUGUGGCUGGGGGUGAAAGGCCAAUCAAACCGGGAGAUAGCUGGUUCUCCCCGAAAGCUAUUUAGGUAGCGCCUCGUGAAUUCAUCUCCGGGGGUAGAGCACUGUUUCGGCAAGGGGGUCAUCCCGACUUACCAACCCGAUGCAAACUGCGAAUACCGGAGAAUGUUAUCACGGGAGACACACGGCGGGUGCUAACGUCCGUCGUGAAGAGGGAAACAACCCAGACCGCCAGCUAAGGUCCCAAAGUCAUGGUUAAGUGGGAAACGAUGUGGGAAGGCCCAGACAGCCAGGAUGUUGGCUUAGAAGCAGCCAUCAUUUAAAGAAAGCGUAAUAGCUCACUGGUCGAGUCGGCCUGCGCGGAAGAUGUAACGGGGCUAAACCAUG